rnacentral:tRNA from 1 species
GGCCCGUUGGUCUAGCGGUGAGGACGCCGCCCUCUCAAGGCGGAAACCACGGGUUCGAAUCCCGUACGGGCUACCA